UACGUAGGGGGCAAGCGUUGUCCGGAAUCAUUGGGCGUAAAGAGCGUGUAGGCGGCCAGAAAAGUCCGCUGUGAAAACUCGAGGCUCAACUUCGAGCUGUCGGUGGAAACUUUCUGGCUAGAGUCCGGAAGAGGAGAAUGGAAUUCCUGGUGUAGCGGUGAAAUGCGCAAAUAUCAGGAAGAACACCCGUGGCGAAGGCGGUUCUCUGGGACGGUACUGACGCUGAGACGCGAAAGCGUGAGGAGCGAACAGG
rnacentral:rRNA from 1 species